CUGGGCCUUGUAUAAACGGGCUUUAUUCCAAGCCCAAACCGGCCCUGGUGGUACGGACUCGCACAGUGACACUGCUCCCAAUCUUCCACCGAUUGGUACUUCGUUCGACGGGUAGCGAUGGUGAUGACCAACUUCAAUGGUACUGGUGUAGGUUUCGGUGCUGGCAUUGGUUGCGGUUUUGGAGUAGGAUGGGGUUUCGGAGGUUUGCUUCUUUCCAAUUUCUUACUUAACAGUUUUAUUGUGUUUGUAUCAGCUAAAAUUUUCACUUAAUACAAAUCAAAUGGUCCAGCUCGGACACAGGGAAAUAUGUGUAGUAUAUUAGGAGCUUAGUGGGGUUGAGGUAUUUUUUUUUUUUUUUUUUUUUUUGUGUCUCUUAUAUUGAUUCUCAAUUGCUUUGAUGACUUCUUAUAAUUAGCAGUGAGACACUGAUGAAACUAUGGUAUUUCAAUGUUAGUUGAGUGGAAAAGCUUUCAUCUUUA